rnacentral:lncRNA from 1 species
UAUGCCUUGUAAAACUUCGAACCCAGAAGAUCCCAAUUAUCUGCCAUAUCUUAGCUACUGCUGGUCUCAUGAUACUUGCUACGAAAAGCAUAAUGUUGGUACCACUAUAUAUCAAAAUCACCCACAGUAACUGGGAAACAUCCAUAAUGUCUGGACAUUUUGCUUUCUUUUCAUGUGUGGGCAUAUUUACUCCUUGAUUUUCACAUGCUUGUUUCAAAUAUUCCCCACAUUUCUUUUUACUUAAUACACGUCAGGGUCCCUUAACUUGCCUGAUAUUUCACAGGGAAAUUGCUGUCUCUAUUCCUUCCCCUCAGUUGAGAACCAUUGAGAAAAGGUCAUCUACAUGAUGUGUCUCUGAGGCCUCACCUCCUGCUACCUCUGCAGACCACCCCACACUCCAUCUGUCCUCACCAUUCUAUGGCUGCUCGCCUGGUACAGACCUGAAAAUGAGGCCCAGAGCAGCAGUGCCUCCCAAGAUCACACAUCUGGAACCCAGGGAAGUUUUAGGUGGUAUUCCAAGUUACAUCUUACUCCUUCUUGUAAUUCUUCCAUCUCUAAGUCUGUGUAUCAGACACAUGUGACAUCAGCCCACAGGUGUUAUAGGCAUUAUGACAUAUGAACCUGAAAAUGUCCCUAGGAAGCUAUUUUUAGCACCAUCUCCAAUGUGCAGGUUGGGAAACUGGGGAGAUCUUAAGAGGCACAGUGGCUUUUGCA